CUACGGGGCGCUCCAGUGGGGAAUAUUGGACAAUGGGGGAAACCCUGAUCCAGCAAUGCCGCGUGUGUGAAGAAGGCCUGCGGGUUGUGAAGCACUUUCGGUUGGGGGGACUGCUUCUAGCACUAAUAUUGUUGGAAGUUGACGUUACCUUCAGAAGAAGCACCGGCUAACGUCCGUGCCAGCAGCCGCGGUAAUACGGGAGGGUGCAAGCGUUAAUCGGAAUUACUGGGGGUAAAGCGCGCGUAGGCGGCUAGAUCAGUCGGGUGUGAAAGCCCCGGGCUUAACCUGGGAACUGCAUCCGAUACUGUCUAGCUUGAGUACAGGAGAGGAGAGUGGAAUUCCACAUGUAGCGGUGAAAUGCGUAGAUAUGUGGAGGAACACCAAUGGCGAAGGCAGCUCUCUGGCCUGAUACUGACGCUGAGGUGCGAAAGCGUGGGGAGCAAACAGGAUUAGAUACCCCCGUAGUC
rnacentral:rRNA from 1 species